AAAACCUUCAAGAGGAAUGGUGGUAGGCAAGGCACUUUUUGAAGCAGACCAGACAGAGGGUGAUUAAAUGACUUGCCAAAAAUUCACACCAAAGAACAGAACAGAGAACUGAUCUGCAAUGACUUUCAGCAGUACAAAGGAGGCAAAAAACUGCUCUAAGAGGAAGAGUGGAAGAGUCUCCUUCUCUCUUAGAAGAACUGCAAACUGGCACCAGUAGAGCUG
rnacentral:lncRNA from 1 species